rnacentral:rRNA from 1 species
UUAAGCGACUAAGCGUACACGGUGGAUGCCCUGGCAGUCAGAGGCGAUGAAGGACGUGCUAAUCUGCGAUAAGCGUCGGUAAGGUGAUAUGAACCGUUAUAACCGGCGAUUUCCGAAUGGGGAAACCCAGUGUGUUUCGACACACUAUCAUUAACUGAAUCCAUAGGUUAAUGAGGCGAACCGGGGGAACUGAAACAUCUAAGUACCCCGAGGAAAAGAAAUCAACCGAGAUUCCCCCAGUAGCGGCGAGCGAACGGGGAGCAGCCCAGAGCCUGAAUCAGUGUGUGUGUUAGUGGAAGCGUCUGGAAAGGCGCGCGAUACAGGGUGACAGCCCCGUACACAAAAAUGCACAUGCUGUGAGCUCGAUGAGUAGGGCGGGACACGUGGUAUCCUGUCUGAAUAUGGGGGGACCAUCCUCCAAGGCUAAAUACUCCUGACUGACCGAUAGUGAACCAGUACCGUGAGGGAAAGGCGAAAAGAACCCCGGCGAGGGGAGUGAAAAAGAACCUGAAACCGUGUACGUACAAGCAGUGGGAGCACGCUUCGGCGUGUGACUGCGUACCUUUUGUAUAAUGGGUCAGCGACUUAUAUUCUGUAGCAAGGUUAACCGAAUAGGGGAGCCGAAGGGAAACCGAGUCUUAACUGGGCGUUAAGUUGCAGGGUAUAGACCCGAAACCCGGUGAUCUAGCCAUGGGCAGGUUGAAGGUUGGGUAACACUAACUGGAGGACCGAACCGACUAAUGUUGAAAAAUUAGCGGAUGACUUGUGGCUGGGGGUGAAAGGCCAAUCAAACCGGGAGAUAGCUGGUUCUCCCCGAAAGCUAUUUAGGUAGCGCCUCGUGAAUUCAUCUCCGGGGGUAGAGCACUGUUUCGGCAAGGGGGUCAUCCCGACUUACCAACCCGAUGCAAACUGCGAAUACCGGAGAAUGUUAUCACGGGAGACACACGGCGGGUGCUAACGUCCGUCGUGAAGAGGGAAACAACCCAGACCGCCAGCUAAGGUCCCAAAGUCAUGGUUAAGUGGGAAACGAUGUGGGAAGGCCCAGACAGCCAGGAUGUUGGCUUAGAAGCAGCCAUCAUUUAAAGAAAGCGUAAUAGCUCACUGGUCGAGUCGGCCUGCGCGGAAGAUGUAACGGGGCUAAACCAUGCACCGAAGCUGCGGCAGCGACGCUUAUGCGUUGUUGGGUAGGGGAGCGUUCUGUAAGCCUGUGAAGGUGUGCUGUGAGGCAUGCUGGAGGUAUCAGAAGUGCGAAUGCUGACAUAAGUAACGAUAAAGCGGGUGAAAAGCCCGCUCGCCGGAAGACCAAGGGUUCCUGUCCAACGUUAAUCGGGGCAGGGUGAGUCGACCCCUAAGGCGAGGCCGAAAGGCGUAGUCGAUGGGAAACAGGUUAAUAUUCCUGUACUUGGUGUUACUGCGAAGGGGGGACGGAGAAGGCUAUGUUGGCCGGGCGACGGUUGUCCCGGUUUAAGCGUGUAGGCUGGUUUUCCAGGCAAAUCCGGAAAAUCAAGGCUGAGGCGUGAUGACGAGGCACUACGGUGCUGAAGCAACAAAUGCCCUGCUUCCAGGAAAAGCCUCUAAGCAUCAGGUAACAUCAAAUCGUACCCCAAACCGACACAGGUGGUCAGGUAGAGAAUACCAAGGCGCUUGAGAGAACUCGGGUGAAGGAACUAGGCAAAAUGGUGCCGUAACUUCGGGAGAAGGCACGCUGAUAUGUAGGUGAAGUCCCUCGCGGAUGGAGCUGAAAUCAGUCGAAGAUACCAGCUGGCUGCAACUGUUUAUUAAAAACACAGCACUGUGCAAACACGAAAGUGGACGUAUACGGUGUGACGCCUGCCCGGUGCCGGAAGGUUAAUUGAUGGGGUCAGCGCAAGCGAAGCUCUUGAUCGAAGCCCCGGUAAACGGCGGCCGUAACUAUAACGGUCCUAAGGUAGCGAAAUUCCUUGUCGGGUAAGUUCCGACCUGCACGAAUGGCGUAAUGAUGGCCAGGCUGUCUCCACCCGAGACUCAGUGAAAUUGAACUCGCUGUGAAGAUGCAGUGUACCCGCGGCAAGACGGAAAGACCCCGUGAACCUUUACUAUAGCUUGACACUGAACAUUGAGCCUUGAUGUGUAGGAUAGGUGGGAGGCUUUGAAGUGUGGACGCCAGUCUGCAUGGAGCCGACCUUGAAAUACCACCCUUUAAUGUUUGAUGUUCUAACGUUGACCCGUAAUCCGGGUUGCGGACAGUGUCUGGUGGGUAGUUUGACUGGGGCGGUCUCCUCCUAAAGAGUAACGGAGGAGCACGAAGGUUGGCUAAUCCUGGUCGGACAUCAGGAGGUUAGUGCAAUGGCAUAAGCCAGCUUGACUGCGAGCGUGACGGCGCGAGCAGGUGCGAAAGCAGGUCAUAGUGAUCCGGUGGUUCUGAAUGGAAGGGCCAUCGCUCAACGGAUAAAAGGUACUCCGGGGAUAACAGGCUGAUACCGCCCAAGAGUUCAUAUCGACGGCGGUGUUUGGCACCUCGAUGUCGGCUCAUCACAUCCUGGGGCUGAAGUAGGUCCCAAGGGUAUGGCUGUUCGCCAUUUAAAGUGGUACGCGAGCUGGGUUUAGAACGUCGUGAGACAGUUCGGUCCCUAUCUGCCGUGGGCGCUGGAGAACUGAGGGGGGCUGCUCCUAGUACGAGAGGACCGGAGUGGACGCAUCACUGGUGUUCGGGUUGUCAUGCCAAUGGCACUGCCCGGUAGCUAAAUGCGGAAGAGAUAAGUGCUGAAAGCAUCUAAGCACGAAACUUGCCCCGAGAUGAGUUCUCCCUGACUCCUUGAGAGUCCUGAAGGAACGUUGAAGACGACGACGUUGAUAGGCCGGGUGUGUAAGCGCAGCGAUGCGUUGAGCUAACCGGUACUAAUGAACCGUGAGGCUUAACCUU